rnacentral:rRNA from 1 species
AGGAUUAACGCUGGCGGCGUGCCUGACACAUGCAAGUCGAACGAGGCCGCAAGGCCGAGUGGCGGACGGGUGAGUAACACGUGACCAACCAACCUCGAAGUUGGGAAUAGCUCUGCGAAAGUAGGGGUAAUACCGAAUGUGGCCCAGGGCGGGCAUCCGCCUUGGUCUAAAGAUUCAUCGCUUCGAGACGGGGUCGCGGCCUAUUAGCUUGUUGGUGAGGUAACGGCUCACCAAGGCGAUGAUGGGUAGCUGGUCUGAGAGGACGACCAGCCACACUGGGACUGAGACACGGCCCAGACUCCUACGGGAGGCAGCAGUGAGGAAUCUUCCGCAAUGGGCGAAAGCCUGACGGAGCAACGCCGCGUGUGGGAUGAAGACUCUAGGGUUGUAAACCACUGUCGGAGGGGACGAUCGUGACGGUACCCUCGAAGAAACGCCCGGCUAACUACGUGCCAGCAGCCGAC